UACGGGGGGGGCAAGCGUUGUUCGGAAUUACUGGGCGUAAAGGGCUCGUAGGCGGCCAACUAAGUCAGACGUGAAAUCCCUCGGCUUGACCGGGGAACUGCGUCUGAUACUGGAUGGCUUGAGGUUGGGAGAGGGAUGCGGAAUUCCAGGUGUAGCGGUGAAAUGCGUAGAUAUCUGGAGGAACACCGGUGGCGAAGGCGGCAUCCUGGACCAAUUCUGACGCUGAGGAGCGAAAGCCAGGGGAGCAAACGGG
rnacentral:rRNA from 1 species